AUUGAACGCUGGCGGCAUGCUUUACACAUGCAAGUCGAACGGUAACAGGCCGCAAGGUGCUGACGAGUGGCGAACGGGUGAGUAAUGCAUCGGAACGUGCCCAGUCGUGGGGGAUAACUACUCGAAAGAGUAGCUAAUACCGCAUACGAUCUAUGGAUGAAAGCGGGGGACCGUAAGGCCUCGCGCGAUUGGAGCGGCCGAUGUCAGAUUAGGUAGUUGGUGGGGUAAAGGCUCACCAAGCCAACGAUCUGUAGCUGGUCUGAGAGGACGACCAGCCACACUGGGACUGAGACACGGCCCAGACUCCGACGGGAGGCAGCAGUGGGGAAUUUUGGACAAUGGGCGCAAGCCUGAUCCAGCAAUGCCGCGUGCAGGAAGAAGGCCUUCGGGUUGUAAACUGCUUUUGUACGGAACGAAACGGCUCUGGUUAAUACCCGGGGCUAAUGACGGUACCGUAAGAAUAAGCACCGGCUAACUACGU
rnacentral:rRNA from 1 species